UGACCUCGAAUCAGGUAGGAAUACCCGCUGAACUUAAGCAUAUCAAUAAGCGGAGGAAAAGAAACCAACCGGGAU
rnacentral:rRNA from 1 species